AUUGAACGCUGGCGGCAGGCCUAACACAUGCAAGUCGAGCGGAUGAAGGGAGCUUGCUCCUGGAUUCAGCGGCGGACGGGUGAGUAAUGCCUAGGAAUCUGCCUGGUAGUGGGGGAUAACGUCCGGAAACGGGCGCUAAUACCGCAUACGUCCUGAGGGAGAAAGUGGGGGAUCUUCGGACCUCACGCUAUCAGAUGAGCCUAGGUCGGAUUAGCUAGUUGGUGGGGUAAAGGCCUACCAAGGCGACGAUCCGUAACUGGUCUAGAGGAUGAUCAGUCACACUGGAACUGAGACACGGUCCAGACUCCUACGGGAGGCAGCAGUGGGGAAUAUUGGACAAAGGGCGAAAGCCUGAUCCAGCCAUGCCGCGUGUGUGAAGAAGGUCUUCGGAUUGUAAAGCACUUUAAGUUGGGAGGAAGGGCAGUAAGUUAAUACCUUGCUGUUUUGACGUUACCAACAGAAUAAGCACCGGCUAACUUCGUG
rnacentral:rRNA from 1 species